GACUAAUGAAAUUGAAAAUAAAUAAAUUUCAUAAAACAACAACAAGUGAGGAGAUAGGAGAAUGAGGAGAGGGAUGGGGAUGCGGGAGGGGGAUAACCUGUUGGAGGAGGUGGUUGUAGGUGCCGGGAAUUCGCCAACUAAAGGCUGUAUCUUGGGAUUUCUUGACCGUUGUGGGGAGGGGGGAGCAUUUCUAGAAAUGAGAGAGAAAGAGGUAAUAAUUUUCGAAUGCU
rnacentral:lncRNA from 1 species